rnacentral:lncRNA from 1 species
GGUAGUAGCUGUCUAAAAGCUUUAAAACGGCGAAAACUUUUCAUAAAUCAACUCUGAGAGAGAGAGAGAGAGAAAGUUUAGUCGCCAUUUUUUUCAACAACAGGCGUCGCGCUAUUUUGUCCAUUAAUUCUGUCGUCACCUGUUGUCGUCGUCAUCACCUGUUGUCGUCGUCGCCACCUGUUGUCGUCGUCACCACCUGUUGUCGUCGUCACCACCUGUUGUCGUCGUCGUCGUCACCUGUUGUCGUCGUCAUCACCUGUUGUCGUCAUCACCUGUUGUCGUCAUCACCUGUGUCAGGUGGCGGCAGCGACCGAUGCUGCGUUCCAGUGCGCCUCGGAACUCGGAGCUCGGACCCCGGAAGUCGGGGUGCAGACCUCUCCGGAGCGGGGAGGGAGCUCUGCCUGGAGCUCACCUGGAGCUCUGCCCCCGGGUCACGUAUCAUCUCUGUGAGGCGGUCUUCACCCCUGAAGGACAACUCUAUACGACUCUACUCAGCCGCCGACAGCACCGAGGACCAGACUGGACCGUCGGACGCGUUUUUCAUUGAAGACGCCAAAGAUAAUGUGGGAGGAGCUAGUCCGGGACAGACGCAUUCACAGCAGGAACAUUCCGGGACAUUCAGCACUGCUGGUCCAAUUCAGGGAAGCCGAAGCUGAUCCCGGUCCGCAGAAGUUAAAAAGCUGGAUGCGUGGUGAAGCAUGGUGGCGAAGAUGGUUAGGACGCACUUAAUGGGGCCACUGUCAUGGGGCCGGGUCAAACGGCCGAGUGUAAUGGGAACAGGAGUCCUUUAUCUGCUGCUGCUCUCAACCUGCCUUGGCCAAGACACAGAAGGUAAAAGGCGGUCUCUCAUUUUGUCGUCGUCCCCCCUCUCCCCCCUCUUCUUAUCCAUCUCUUUUUCAUUCCUUCUUUUUGGCUUUGUCUCGUCUUUUCCCUCUUUGGCUUCCUCUUUUUUUCCCCACUGUCUUAUAAAUCAGAAGUGAGUCAAGUCUGCUCAGCGGGGAUUUGAUAUGAGAAUUGCACACAUCACUUUUUUGAACUUCAGGCUUAUUGUCGGCUGUCAGCCAAUCUGAUUCAUUUCCUGAUUCAUCAUUGAUCCCUUUUAUGACGUGUGAUAACUACAACACAGUUUGUCAAGGUGUACUUAGUUUUCCUAUUUGCUUUCCAUUUCCAGUAGUAUUUUCGUCUGAACAAACAUUAAUAGCUUAUGCCAUCCAUCUCAUCCAGAAAUGUUUAUUGUCCACUCGCAUGGAAAUAUUUCUCGGGCCACAAGCACACCA